rnacentral:rRNA from 1 species
UACGUAGGGGGCAAGCGUUGUCCGGAAUCAUUGGGCGUAAAGCGCGUGUAGGCGGCUCGGUAAGUCUGCUCUGAAAGCCCGGGGCUCAACCCUGGGAGGCGGGUGGAUACUGCUGAGCUCGAGUCCGGAAGAGGCGAGUGGAAUUCCUGGUGUAGCGGUGAAAUGCGCAGAUAUCAGGAGGAACACCAAUUGCGAAGGCAGCUCGCUGGGACGUUACUGACGCUGAGACGCGAAAGCGUGGGGAGCAAACAGG